rnacentral:rRNA from 1 species
UACGUAGGGUCCGAGCGUUGUCCGGAGUUACUGGGCGUAAAGCGCGCGCAGGCGGCCCGCGAGGUGUCACGUGAAAGCCCCGGGCUCAACUCGGGAGGGUCGUGGCAAACCGGCGGGCUUGAGGCCGGUAGAGGUGGGUGGAACUCCUGGUGGAGUGGUGAAAUGCGUAGAGAUCAGGAAGAACACCCGUGGCGAAGGCGGCCCACUGGGCCGGUGCUGACGCUGAGGCGCGAAGGCGUGGGGAGCGAACAGG